UGGUAGGCCUCACCCUAUACCCUGGGU
rnacentral:piRNA from 1 species